rnacentral:lncRNA from 10 species
ACCUUUAGUAAAGAAGAAAGAUGCAAAGUAAAACAAAUGUCAUGAAGGCAUUGUUCUCUCUGAAUUCUGCAAAGCAAUAACGAAGUCACAGAAAUGUUCAAAGUUGUGCUUUCCUGGUGACCUUACAAAAAGGAAAUACUGUGAGGUGAAGUCCUUCCCACUCAGACUUCAGGCCCUUAGGAAGCAAUGAGAGUUGUGUGCCCAGAUGUCUUCCUGUGACCCUUUGCCAUCCAUCCAUCCGUUCAUUCAUUCAUCUUGCAUUCACCAUUAAUACUGCGCCCUUCUGUGUGCCAGCUAGGAACCUCAUCCUUGCAAACAACCUGUUAGAUAAUCUGUCCCCUACCAUCAAAGAGAUUCUGUUUUCUCUGCAGAGGAUGUUUUAAUAAGGUUACGUCCCUUACUCCGUGGGUCUUAUCCUAUAGACCAUAAUAGCCUAAUGUGCCUCAAACCUCCCCGGGGCUACAGCUAAGUUUUCAUCAGCAUGUGAAAAUUAUUGUUUCAUCUAAGUGUUCAGAAAAUUAUUGCGGUGUCUUGCAGUUGAACUGUGUAGAGAGAAGUACAACUUGCGAAGCUAGGGCUAAAGAAAGAUCAUGUGUUUACUUUUACAAGCAGAAGCUUUGCAUAUGAUAAAAAAGCUCGGUGGCAAACAUGGUGAAAACCCGUCUCUACUAAAAAUACAAAAAGCCGGGCGUGGUGGCACGCACCUGUAAUCCCAGCUACUCUGGAGGCUGAGGCAGGAGAAUCGUUUGAACCUGGGAGGCGGAGGUUGCAGUGAGCCGAGAUCGCGCCACUGCACUCCAGCCUGGGCGACAGAGCAAGACUCCGUCUCGGAGGGGCGGGGGUCGGAAAGAGCUCUCUCUGUCAAGGGAGAGAACAGCUCAGCUCAAACAUCACGGUGCUGAAGGGCAACCUGGUAAACACAGAAAUACUCAACCACCAGCAUUUACUGAAUACUUGACGCAACAAAGGUGUAGUAUGUUGAGUAAGAUGUUGCAGGCUAGACUGUAAACACCACUAAGAGCCUUCUUUUGCUGGGAAAAUCUGUUCUGAAUCCAAACAACUUACUAACAAAGGCACUUGGGAAACACAUUAUGUUGCAUUAUGUUGUACCUUGGGAACUUCCUGAACUCGAGGUAAUUGCAAAGCAGAACAGGGAUCCCACAGAGUUGAAUCUGAAUCCUUAAAAAAGGAGGAAAGUGAAGAGGGCAUGGGGAGCUGUGUUGCAAAAGGAAAGAGACUUUCCAGAUAGAUGGUUUUUAACAGCUAGAUGGGUCAGAUGUGAGGGGAAGGCCAGAAGGUGUUACAGAGAAACAGAUUCAGAGAGGAAAAGCAGUGAUAAACAAACAAACAAACAAACACCUAUGGGGAGAAGCAGGAAAAGAAAAGACGAGGCAAACGACAACUAAAAAGAAAGAUGUGGCCCCCAAUUCCUAGUUUUUAGAAGGUAGCCCAGGGAUUAUCCACCAGAACCUCCUACAAAUCCUUGUUUGGCCUGUGGUGUCUCACUUCUCUACCGAAAUGUUUUUAUUAGCAAAGCCAAAUUAAAAUUAACAUCAAAAUGGCAAGGAUGAAGGCUGAGGGUGUAUUUUGUCUUAGAGAUCACUGGCUGGAAAGUCAUUCAAAACUUUCAACAAACAUUUGCUAGUCAGCUUCAUGUAUACAAGUGUUGUGUUUUGUGUUCCUGGAAACACAAAGAGUUAUAACGUUGUUUCUAUAAGGAGGUAAAAGGGGCAUUCCACAGUGCUUGAUAGAAUGAAAUUGUGAUGGCUGAAAGAACAAUUGGGGGUGGAUGUGGUGGCUCACGCCUGUAAUCCCAGAUAUUUGGGAGGCCAAGGUUGGUGGACCACUUUAAGGCCAGGAGUUCAAGACUAGCCUGGCCAACAUGGUAAAAUCCCAUCUCUACAAAAAAUACAAAAAAUUAGCCAGGCAUGGUGGUGUGCACCUGUAAUCCCAACUACUUAGAAGGCUGAGGCCAGAGAAUCGCUUGAAC